ACUAAGCGUACACGGUGGAUGCCCUGGCAGUCAGAGGCGAUGAAGGACGUGCUAAUCUGCGAUAAGCGUCGGUGAGGUGAUAUGAACCGUUAUAACCGGCGAUUUCCGAAUGGGGAAACCCAGUGUGUUUCGACACACUAUCAUUAACUGAAUCCAUAGGUUAAUGAGGCGAACCGGGGGAACUGAAACAUCUAAGUACCCCGAGGAAAAGAAAUCAACCGAGAUUCCCCCAGUAGCGGCGAGCGAACGGGGAGGAGCCCAGAGCCUGAAUCAGUGUGUGUGUUAGUGGAAGCGUCUGGAAAGGCGUGCGAUACAGGGUGACAGCCCCGUACACAAAAAUGCACAUAUUGUGAGCUCGAUGAGUAGGGCGGGACACGUGGUAUCCUGUCUGAAUAUGGGGGGACCAUCCUCCAAGGCUAAAUACUCCUGACUGACCGAUAGUGAACCAGUACCGUGAGGGAAAGGCGAAAAGAACCCCGGCGAGGGGAGUGAAAAAGAACCUGAAACCGUGUACGUACAAGCAGUGGGAGCCUCUUUAUGGGGUGACUGCGUACCUUUUGUAUAAUGGGUCAGCGACUUAUAUUCUGUAGCAAGGUUAACCGAAUAGGGGAGCCGAAGGGAAACCGAGUCUUAACUGGGCGUUAAGUUGCAGGGUAUAGACCCGAAACCCGGUGAUCUAGCCAUGGGCAGGUUGAAGGUUGGGUAACACUAACUGGAGGACCGAACCGACUAAUGUUGAAAAAUUAGCGGAUGACUUGUGGCUGGGGGUGAAAGGCCAAUCAAACCGGGAGAUAGCUGGUUCUCCCCGAAAGCUAUUUAGGUAGCGCCUCGUGAAUUCAUCUCCGGGGGUAGAGCACUGUUUCGGCAAGGGGGUCAUCCCGACUUACCAACCCGAUGCAAACUGCGAAUACCGGAGAAUGUUAUCACGGGAGACACACGGCGGGUGCUAACGUCCGUCGUGAAGAGGGAAACAACCCAGACCGCCAGCUAAGGUCCCAAAGUCAUGGUUAAGUGGGAAACGAUGUGGGAAGGCCCAGACAGCCAGGAUGUUGGCUUAGAAGCAGCCAUCAUUUAAAGAAAGCGUAAUAGCUCACUGGUCGAGUCGGCCUGCGCGGAAGAUGUAACGGGGCUAAACCAUGCACCGAAGCUGCGGCAGCGACACUAUGUGUUGUUGGGUAGGGGAGCGUUCUGUAAGCCUGUGAAGGUGGCCUGUGAGGGUUGCUGGAGGUAUCAGAAGUGCGAAUGCUGACAUAAGUAACGAUAAAGCGGGUGAAAAGCCCGCUCGCCGGAAGACCAAGGGUUCCUGUCCAACGUUAAUCGGGGCAGGGUGAGUCGACCCCUAAGGCGAGGCCGAAAGGCGUAGUCGAUGGGAAACAGGUUAAUAUUCCUGUACUUGGUGUUACUGCGAAGGGGGGACGGAGAAGGCUAUGUUAGCCGGGCGACGGUUGUCCCGGUUUAAGCAUGUAGGCGGAGGUUCCAGGUAAAUCCGGUACCUUGUUAACGCUGAGGUGUGAUGACGAGGCACUACGGUGCUGAAGUAACAAAUGCCCUGCUUCCAGGAAAAGCCUCUAAGCAUCAGGUAACAUCAAAUCGUACCCCAAACCGACACAGGUGGUCAGGUAGAGAAUACCAAGGCGCUUGAGAGAACUCGGGUGAAGGAACUAGGCAAAAUGGUGCCGUAACUUCGGGAGAAGGCACGCUGAUAUGUAGGUGAAGCGACUUGCUCGUGGAGCUGAAAUCAGUCGAAGAUACCAGCUGGCUGCAACUGUUUAUUAAAAACACAGCACUGUGCAAACACGAAAGUGGACGUAUACGGUGUGACGCCUGCCCGGUGCCGGAAGGUUAAUUGAUGGGGUUAGCGGUAACGCGAAGCUCUUGAUCGAAGCCCCGGUAAACGGCGGCCGUAACUAUAACGGUCCUAAGGUAGCGAAAUUCCUUGUCGGGUAAGUUCCGACCUGCACGAAUGGCGUAAUGAUGGCCAGGCUGUCUCCACCCGAGACUCAGUGAAAUUGAACUCGCUGUGAAGAUGCAGUGUACCCGCGGCAAGACGGAAAGACCCCGUGAACCUUUACUAUAGCUUGACACUGAACAUUGAGCCUUGAUGUGUAGGAUAGGUGGGAGGCUUUGAAGUGUGGACGCCAGUCUGCAUGGAGCCGACCUUGAAAUACCACCCUUUAAUGUUUGAUGUUCUAACGUUGGCCCGUAAUCCGGGUUGCGGACAGUGUCUGGUGGGUAGUUUGACUGGGGCGGUCUCCUCCCAAAGAGUAACGGAGGAGCACGAAGGUUAGCUAAUCCUGGUCGGACAUCAGGAGGUUAGUGCAAUGGCAUAAGCUAGCUUGACUGCGAGCGUGACGGCGCGAGCAGGUGCGAAAGCAGGUCAUAGUGAUCCGGUGGUUCUGAAUGGAAGGGCCAUCGCUCAACGGAUAAAAGGUACUCCGGGGAUAACAGGCUGAUACCGCCCAAGAGUUCAUAUCGACGGCGGUGUUUGGCACCUCGAUGUCGGCUCAUCACAUCCUGGGGCUGAAGUAGGUCCCAAGGGUAUGGCUGUUCGCCAUUUAAAGUGGUACGCGAGCUGGGUUUAGAACGUCGUGAGACAGUUCGGUCCCUAUCUGCCGUGGGUGUAGGAUACUUGAGAGGAUUUGUCCUUAGUACGAGAGGACCGGGAUGAACAUACCUCUGGUGUACCAGUUGUAACGCCAGUUGCAGCGCUGGGUAGCUAAGUAUGGAAGGGAUAACCGCUGAAUGCAUCUAAGCGGGAAACCCACCUCAAAACUAGGUAUCCCCAUUAAGAUCGUGGUAGACCACCACGUUGAUAGGUCAGGUGUGUAAGCACAGCAAUGUGUUUAGCUAACUGAUACUAAUAAUCUGAUUGGCUUGAUA
rnacentral:rRNA from 1 species